UAAAUAGCCUUGGAUCAAAAGAGAAUACGGUGCGAAUCCGUAACAGUCCCCGCUGCUGUAAGUUCAUUAAUUGUUUCGGAAACUCUUUGCCACUGACACUAACCUGUCGGGAAGGCCUCCGAACAGAACAAGUCAGAAGACCUGCCUUUGCCGUUUU
rnacentral:ncRNA from 1 species